rnacentral:ncRNA from 2 species
AUCGAAAAACGAAUAAGACCUCAUAUAAUUUUGGGAAUAUGGUCCAUAAGUUUCUACCCGGUUGCCGUAAAAAAAUCGGACUAUGAGGGAAAGUGGUUGCUUA